rnacentral:rRNA from 1 species
UUGGGAAUCUUGGACAAUGGGGGAAACCCUGAUCCAGCCAUGCCGCGUGAGCGAUGAAGGCCUUCGGGUUGUAAAGCUCUUUCGCCAGGGACGAUAAUGACGGUACCUGGAUAAGAAGCCCCGGCUAACUUCGUGCCAGCAGCCGCGGUAAUACGAAGGGGGCUAGCGUUGUUCGGAAUUACUGGGCGUAAAGCGCGCGCAGGCGGCUUUUCAAGUCAGGGGUGAAAGCCCGGAGCUCAACUCCGGAACUGCCUUUGAAACUGUGAAGCUUGAGUACGGGAGAGGUGAGUGGAAUUCCCAGUGUAGAGGUGAAAUUCGUAGAUAUUGGGAAGAACACCGGUGGCGAAGGCGGCUCACUGGCCCGUUACUGACGCUCAGGCGCGACAGCGUGGGGAUCAAACAG